rnacentral:rRNA from 1 species
CAGCAGCCGCGGGAAUACGUAGGUCCCGAGCGUUGUCCGGAUUUAUUGGGCGUAAAGCGAGCGCAGGCGGUUAGAUAAGUCUGAAGUUAAAGGCUGUGGCUUAACCAUAGUACGCUUUGGAAACUGUUUAACUUGAGUGCAAGAGGGGAGAGUGGAAUUCCAUGUGUAGCGGUGAAAUGCGUAGAUAUAUGGAGGAACACCGGUGGCGAAAGCGGCUCUCUGGCUUGUAACUGACGCUGAGGCUCGAAAGCGUGGGGCGCAAACAGGAUUAGAUACCCCUGUAGUCCCUGUCUCUUAUACA